rnacentral:rRNA from 1 species
UAUUACUGCGAUGGGGUGACGGAGAAGCGUAAAGUCCGCCAACUGACGGAAUAGUUGGUUAAAGUGCGUAGGUGUUGAGUCAGUAGGCAAAUCCGCUGAUGAACUGAAACAUGAUAGUACUCAGAUCCUUUCGGGGUGAAGAGAUAGUGACUCCAAGCAUACUUCCAAGAAAAACCUCUAAGCUUCAGGUAAUAACAGCCCGUACCAUAAACCGACACAGGUAGUCGAGGAGAAUAUCCUAAGGCGCUCGAGUGAGUCAUGGCUAAGGAACUAGGCAAAUUAGUCUCGUAACUUCGGGAAAAGAGACCCCCACUUCGGUGGGGCGCAGAGAAAUGGCCCAGGCGACUGUUUAGCAAAAACACAGGACUCUGCAAAAUCGAAAGAUGACGUAUAGGGUCUGACACCUGCCCGGUGCCGGAAGGUUAAGGAAGGGGGUUAGCGCAAGCGAAGCUCUUGACUGAAGCCCCGGUAAACGGCGGCCGUAACUAUAACGGUCCUAAGGUAGCGAAAUUCCUUGUCGGGUAAGUUCCGACCUGCACGAAUGGUGUAACGAUCUGGGCACUGUCUCAGCCAUGAGCUCGGUGAAAUUGAAGUAUCGGUGAAGAUGCCGGUUACCCGCCACGGGACGAAAAGACCCCGUGCACCUUUACUAUAGCUUCACAUUGUGCUUGAAUAUAAGAUGUGUAGGAUAGGUGGGAGACUUUGAAGCGGCACGCUAGUGGUUGUGGAGUCAACGUUGAAAUACCACCCUUCUUCUAUUUAGGUUCUAACCCCGUACCCACGGGGGACAGUGUGUGGUGGGUAGUUUGACUGGGGUGGUCGCCUCCUAAAGAGUAACGGAGGCUUGCAAAGGUGCCCUCAGCAUGGACGGUAAUCAUGCGAAGAGCGUAUUAGUAUAAGGGCGCUUGACUGAGAGAGCAACGGCUCGACCAGGUACGAAAGUAGGCUAAAGUGAUCCGGUGUUUCCGCAUGGAAGGGACAUCGCUCAAAGGAUAAAAGGUACGCCGGGGAUAACAGGCUGAUCUCCCCCAAGAGCUCAUAUCGACGGGGAGGUUUGGCACCUCGAUGUCGGUUCGUCACAUCCUGGGGCUGAAGAAGGUCCCAAGGGUUCGGCUGUUCGCCGAUUAAAGUGGCACGUGAACUGGGUUCAGAACGUCGCAAGACAGUUCGGUCUCUAUCUGUGGUGGGCGUUGUAAUAUUGAAGUGAACUGACUCUAGUACGAGAGGACCGAGUUGGACGUACCUCUAGUGUAUCUGUUGUGCCGCCAGGUGCAAUGCAGAGUAGCUAUGUACGGACUAGAUAAGCGCUGAAAGCAUCUAAGCGCGAAGCUAUCCUUAAGAUGAGUAUUACUGGGGUCGUAGAAGACGACUACGUUGAUAGGCUAUAGGUGUAAGCGUAGUAAUACGUUCAGCUGAGUAGUACUAAUUACCCCUUAGCUUCCUUUU